CUAGGGUGGCUGCAGUGGGGAAUAUUGGACAAUGGGCGAAAGCCUGAUCCAGCCAUGCCGCGUGUGUGAAGAAGGCCUUCGGGUUGUAAAGCACUUUCAGUGGGGAAGAAAGCCUUGGGGCUAAUACCCUCGAGGAAGGACAUCACCCACAGAAGAAGCACCGGCUAACUCCGUGCCAGCAGCCGCGGUAAUACGGAGGGUGCGAGCGUUAAUCGGAAUUACUGGGCGUAAAGCGCGCGUAGGCGGUCUGAUAAGCCGGUUGUGAAAGCCCCGGGCUCAACCUGGGAACGGCAUCCGGAACUGUCAGGCUAGAGUGCAGGAGAGGAAGGUAGAAUUCCCGGUGUAGCGGUGAAAUGCGUAGAGAUCGGGAGGAAUACCAGUGGCGAAGGCGGCCUUCUGGACUGACACUGACGCUGAGGUGCGAAAGCGUGGGUAGCAAACAGGAUUAGAUACCCGGGUAGUC
rnacentral:rRNA from 1 species